UUAGAGCACACGGUUGACAUCCGUGAGGUCGUAGGUUCGAGCCCUAUACCGCCCACCU
rnacentral:tRNA from 1 species